AGAGUUUGAUCCUGGCUCAGAUUGAACGCUGGCGGCAGGCCUAACACAUGCAAGUCGAGCGGAUGAGAAGAGCUUGCUCUUCGAUUCAGCGGCGGACGGGUGAGUAAUGCCUAGGAAUCUGCCUGGUAGUGGGGGACAACGUUUCGAAAGGAACGCUAAUACCGCAUACGUCCUACGGGAGAAAGCAGGGGACCUUCGGGCCUUGCGCUAAUAGAUGAGCCUAGGUCGGAUUAGCUAGUUGGUGAGGUAAAGGCUCACCAAGGCGACGAUCCGUAACUGGUCUGAGAGGAUGAUCAGUCACACUGGAACUGAGACACGGUCCAGACUCCUACGGGAGGCAGCAGUGGGGAAUAUUGGACAAUGGGCGAAAGCCUGAUCCAGCCAUGCCGCGUGUGUGAAGAAGGUCUUCGGAUUGUAAAGCACUUUAAGUUGGGAGGAAGG
rnacentral:rRNA from 1 species